GACGAACGCUGGCGGCGUGCCUAACACAUGCAAGUCGAACGAGACGUCCGGGUCUUUUGGCGGUCGGCGUCGUAAGGCGGGGGGAGCUUCACUUGGGUUCGGAAUAACUGCCCGACGGGGGUGCUCAGGCCGGAUAGUGUCUUAGGCCCAAAGAUGUAUCGCCGUUGGAUGGGCGCUGGUUGGAUUGGCUUGUUGGUAGGGUAAUAGCCUAACAUGGGGACGAUCCAUGGCUGGUCGGUGAGCAUGAUCAUCCACGCUUGGACUACGACACGGCCCAGACUCCUACGGGAGGGAGCAGAGGGGAAUAGUGGAAAGUGGGCGCAAGCCUGAUCCAGCCAUGCCGGGUGAGUGAUGCUGGCCUUAGGGUUCUAAAGCUCUUUUACCCGGGAUGAUAAUGACGGUACCGGGUGAAUAAGCUCCGGCUAACUACGUG
rnacentral:rRNA from 1 species